GCAGUGGGGAAUUUUGGACAAUGGGCGCAAGCCUGAUCCAGCCAUACCGCGUGAGUGAAGAAGGCCUUCGGGUUGUAAAGCUCUUUCAGCCGGAAAGAAAUUGCUUCUAUUAAUACUAGGAGUAGAUGACGGUACCGGAAGAAGAAGCACCGGCUAACUACGUGCCAGCAGCCGCGGUAAUACGUAGGGUGCGAGCGUUAAUCGGAAUUACUGGGCGUAAAGCGUGCGCAGGCGGUUUGGUAAGACAGACGUGAAAUCCCCGGGCUUAACCUGGGAACUGCGUUUGUGACUGCCAGACUAGAGUGUAGCAGAGGGGGGUAGAAUUCCACGUGUAGCAGUGAAAUGCGUAGAUAUGUGGAGGAAUACCGAUGGCGAAGGCAGCCCCCUGGGCUAACACUGACGCUCAUGCACGAAAGCGUGGGGAGCAAACAGGAUUAGAUACCCUGGUAGUCCACGCCCUAAACGAUGUCAACUAGGUGUUGGGGAAGGAGACUUCUUUAGUACCGCAGCUAACGCGUGAAGUUGACCGCCU
rnacentral:rRNA from 1 species